GGCUCCAGGGCCUGUGCGUCUAACCACCACUCUGUAUAAAGCUGCUGUUUCAGACCCACUGACGGACCCAAGGGGAAAGCCCAGCCUGUUGCUAACCCGACCUGGAGAGAACCAGGUGGGGCCCUUCACGUAUUGAUACUUCAUUAAUCUGCACAAUUAAGCCUCCAGACCUGUGAAGGAACACAUUUCUGCUGUUUGAAGGCCCCAGGGAUGCGGUGGUUCUUUAAGGCGGAGCCCUAGGAAGCUGAUGCUGCAGGUACAGAACGAAGUGGCGACAACACUGGUUGAGACUGGAACCCGUGGAGAUUGUGGUUCUCAAACAGUUAUAUCUACCUGGCUUGUCACGGUCCCAAGGAAGCGAUUUGCCCAGAUGACUUAAGGAUACUGAGAAGCAGUGUCAUCUCUGAACAGCUGACUCACACCGGAAUCUUGUGUUCAACCAGAUGAGUCAGCAGCCAUUGGGCUAUGGGACUGUGCUGGGGGCCUGCCUGCAUCCCUGGGGCACUUCGGAGAUCUGAGCCCCAUGUCUGGCCUCAGGAGACAAAAGCAUGAAUGAACAAGCAGCCCCACAAAUACGAAGAGAAAUCGCACACACAGCCAAUCUCGGCUUGGCAGCUUUUUUUUGCUAGGACACGUGUGUUUGUGGUUACGUAUUAUACUGCACACAUUAAUAUAGUCAUAUUUUCUGCUAGUAAAAUUGUUGCUGGCUCAUAUAAUGGGAUUAAAUAUGUCAGUAUUUCAUGGCGUUCCGCAAAGAGCCCCAUCGCUUCCAGGCGCUCAGCCACACGGGCAAGUUUGAGAACCACUGAUCUAUAAUAAAGGGCAAAAUCAUUGAACACACAAGUAAGCAGGAUGUUUGAAAGAAGCCCUUUGUCACUAAUCCAUCAGUAUUCUGGGAGGUGGAAACUGAAUAUGAGUAUAGGCAAACUGAUAAAUGUAAGUUAUUUACAUUUUUCAAACAGUAUUUGAUUAGACGUCAUGUCUAAUAGACACGAUGUGAUACCCUCUUAAAGAUCUCUUUUGGCCUUCAGAGCCAAACCAGAAAAUCAGUCUCAUUGUUUCAGGAGCCAAACACAGCCUCAUCAUCUCCCGGCCAUGCUUCGAUUUGUCCGUCCCAGCCUGUCCAUGCAAAUAGGUGCUGUAUGCAUACAACCCACAUCACAGAUGCUGGUCCCUGGCCCGCAGUCCAUGCACCCCACCUCUCAUCAGUUAAUUUGGGGAGCACCCUCCAGAGAAGGAAGUAUCCUGGGAUCAGGGCCAUGGUCUCCCUGACCUGAAUUGCAUUGUGCUUUGCUAUCAGAUAAAACCCAGAAAAGGGACCGAGAGGCCCUGCAGUUAUUUAUGAGAAGACGUUCAGCAAAGGCCAAGAAGCCUAGACACUGACUGGCCUUCUGCCAGAAAACAUUGUUCUCCCUCCGAACCCAGCAGUGGCCUCACCACCAUGGACGGCAGCAUGUGCCAAGGUCACUGGACACCCCCACAUCAGAGUCAGUUCAGGGAAAUUUCCAGAAGACCAAUGGGGUGGGGAUGUGGGAUGAGAAGGCAUAAAAAUAAAAAAGAAUAAUUAAAUUAUACGAAUAAUAAAAUUCUUUUAAUAAAAAUAUUGUAAUAUCAGAUGAGGAUGAGAAAGAAGAAAAUGGUUUAGAAAAAGCAAGGGAUACACUUUUGACCUAAAAGGAGUGACUCGAAAUCAGACAAACAACACUCCUUUAUAGCCUGGAGUAGAUUAUAAGAAAGCAUACACAGAAAAC
rnacentral:lncRNA from 1 species